rnacentral:rRNA from 1 species
GGAUUAGAUACCCUGGUAGUCCACACCGUAAACGCUGUCUACUAGCUGUGUGUGUCUUUAAGACGUGCGUAGCGAAGCUAACGCGCUAAGUAGACCGCCUGGGGAGUACGGCCGCAAGGUUAAAACUCAAAUGAAUUGACGGGGGCCCGCACAAGCGGUGGAGCAUGUGGUUUAAACCCUGAUGCAGCCAUGCCGCGUGUGUGAAGAACCUUACCUACACUUGACAUGCUGAGAAGUUACUAGAGAUAGUUUCGUGCCUUCGGGAACUCAGACACAGGUGCUGCAUGGCUGUCGUCAGCUCGUGCCG